rnacentral:rRNA from 1 species
UCGGUUAAAUCCAUGUGCUCAACACAUGGGCUGCCGAGAAUACUGCGUAGCUAGGGAGUGGGAGAGGUAGACGGUACUCGAUAGGAAGGGGUAAAAUCCUUUGAUCUAUUGAUGACCACCAGUGGCGAAGGCGGUCUACCAGAACACGUCCGACGGUGAGGGAUGAAAGCUGGGGGAGCAAACCGGAUUAGAUACCCGGGUAGUCCCAGCUGUAAACUAUGCAAACUCAGUGAUGCAUUGGCUUGUGGCCAAUGCAGUGCCGCAGAGAAGUCGUUAAGUUUGCCGCCUGGGAAGUACGUACGCAAGUAUGAAACUUAAAGGAAUUGGCGGGGGAGCACCACAAGGGGUGAAGCCUGCGGUUCAAUUGGAGUCAACGCCAGAAAUCUUACCCGGAGAGACAGCAGAAUGAAGGUCAAGCUGAAGACUUUACCAGACAAGCUGAGAAGUGGUGCAUGGCCGUCGCCAGCUCGUGCCGUGAGAUGUCCUGUUAAGUCAGGUAACGAGCGAGAUCCCUGCCUCUAGUUGCCACCAUUACUCUCAGGAGUAGUGGGGCGAAUUAGCGGGACUGCCGCAGUUAAUGCGGAGGAAGGAGGGGGCCACGGCAGGUCAGUAUGCCCUGAAACUCUGGGGCCACACGCGGGCUGCAAUGGUAGUGACAGUGAGUUCCUAAUCCGAAAGGAGGAGGUAAUCUUCAAACGCUACCACAGUUAUGAUUGAGGGCUGCAACUCGCCCUCAUGAAUAUGGAAUCCCUAGUAAC